UGGCAGGGUAGCAGCCCAGCUAAGAUCAAAGUGGCUCUAGCGCACACCCCAGCUGCACAUUAAUGCACCAGUUGCCCCCACUCUGCAGCGCUGUGGCAGGCAAGCCGAAAGCUGUUUGGGGCGGAGAUUCAGCGGAACCUGGCAUUUUGGAAGUGUCAGGCCAGAGGUCCUUGACUGUUUCUCUAUUCUGACUGGGGUGAAAAGUGGCACGACCCUGGAGAGUCUUCAAGAGCCUGAGAGAGAUGGAGAGAUAUAUUGGGAUUGCCUUAUAUUGGGAUCUUUACGCUUCAUUAAAAGAUAAGGGAACAGGAGGCUGAAGACCUACUGCGGGCUUGUGCUGCCAGGAAGGAAAGCUUAGUGCAGAAGCGUGUUAUUCAGAAU